ACGGAAGGCAGCAGUGGGGAAUAUUGGGCAAUGGGCGAAAGCCUGACCCAGCAACGCCGCGUGAAGGAAGAAGGCCUUCGGGUUGUAAACUUCUUUUACCAGGGACGAAGGACGUGACGGUACCUGGAGAAAAAGCAACGGCUAACUACGUGCCAGCAGCCGCGGUAAUACGUAGGUUGCAAGCGUUGUCCGGAUUUACUGGGUGUAAAGGGCGUGUAGCCGGGGAGGCAAGUCAGAUGUGAAAUCUAUGGGCUUAACCCAUAAACUGCAUUUGAAACUGUUUCUCUUGAGUGCUGGAGGGGCAAUCGGAAUUCCUUGUGUAGCGGUGAAAUGCGUAGAUAUAAGGAAGAACACCAGUGGCGAAGGCGGAUUGCUGGACAGUAACUGACGGUGAGGCGCGAAAGUGUGGGGAGCAAACAGGAUUAGAUACCCUGGUA
rnacentral:rRNA from 1 species